rnacentral:rRNA from 1 species
GACGAACGCUGGCGGCGUGCUUAACACAUGCAAGUCGAACGAAGUGGCGAACGGGUGAGUAACGCGUAAUAAACCUGCCCUUCAGAGGGGGACAACAGUUGGAAACGACUGCUAAUACAGCAUAGUGAUGGAGGGGUUUGCGUCUGAUGAGCUAGUUGGGGGGGUAACGGCCCACCAAGGCGAUUGUCCGUAGGCGGUCCGGAGGGGUUGACCACCACAUUGGGACUGGGAAACGGCCCAGACUCCGACGGGAGGCAGCAGUGGGGAAUCUUCCGCAAUGGACGAAAGUCUGACGGAGCAACGCCGCGUGAGUGAUGACGGCCUUCGGGUUGUAAAGCUCUGUUAAUCGGGACGCGGUACCGGAAUAGAAAGCCACGGCUAACUACGUGCCAGCAGCCGCGGUAAUAC